CUAACAAGGAUUCCCCUAGUAACGGCGAGUGAAGCGGGAAGAGCUCAAAUUUGAAAUCUCCGUUGCUUGCACCGGCGAAUUGUAGUUUCGAGAAGCACUUUCUCGGCGGAUCGGACUUGCCUAAGUUGCUUGGAACAGCACGUCGCAGAGGGUGACAACCCCGUCUGUGGCGAGUCCGGCCGCUCACGAUGUGCUUUCGAAGAGUCGGGUUGUUUGGGAAUGCAGCCCAAAAUGGGUGGUAAACUCCACCUAAAGCUAAAUAUUGGCGCGAGACCGAUAGCGAAGGAAACGAAUGGAGUUAGCAAUGUGCCCCUUGAGAUUCAGCCGGUGCCGGCGUAGGCGCGGCAUUUGCGGAUCCGAACGGACCGCGGUGUUGCGGGCUUCGCUUCUCACCGUCGCACUUCUCUUGGGCGCGCGUCAACAUCGGUUGGUUUUGCACCUGGGUUUGAAAGGUGCCGGGAAGGUAGGUGCGGCCUUCCUUCGGGAAGUUUCGCACUGUUACAGCCCGGUUCUCUCAUGGCUCGGGACCGACCGAGGAGGAAGCUUUUAUCGGCUAUGCAGCGCAUGCCUCUUGUGGCUGGGGUCCCGUCGUUCCGGCCGGUCGUCGACCGUGGUGGACUGCUUGCAGUGCUCCGCGACCGCUGCCGGUGUUUGGUGGUGACGU
rnacentral:rRNA from 1 species